ensembl:lncRNA
GAAUUUUCCUGCCGGGCUCUGAGCGUUGGCACCUUCACCCCUGGGCACCGGGGAAGGACCCAGAGCUGGCGGGGACGGAGAAACCCCAGCAGAUCCCAAACCUGAUCCUAAACCAGAUCCCAAACCUGAUCCUAAACCUGAUCCUAAACCUGAUCCUAAACCAGAUCCUAAACCAGAUCCCAAACCUGAUCCUAAACCAGAUCCCAAACCUGAUCCUAAACCUGAUCCCAAACCUGAUCCCAAACCAGAUCCUAAACCAGAUCCCAAACAUUGCCCAGAGCUGGCGGGGAUGGGUAAAACCUCACCAGACCCUAAACCAGAUUGGGGAUGGAUAAACCUCACCAGAUCCCAAACCAGAUCCCAAAAAUUGCCCAGAGCUGGUGGAGAUGGAGAAACCCCAGCAGAUCCCAAACCUGAUCCUAAACAUUCCCCAGAGCUGGUGGGGAUGGAUAAACCUCCCCAGACCCUAAACCAGACCCUAAACCAGAUCCCAAAGAGUCCCCAGAGCUGGUGGGGAUGGAUAAACCUCACCAGAUCCCAAACCUGAUCCCAAACCUUCCCCAGAGCUGGUGGGGAUGGAUAAACCUCCCCAGACCCUAAACCAGAUCCUAAACCAGAUCCCAAACAUCCCCCAGAGCUGGUGGGGAUGGGUAAAACCUCACCAGAUCCCAAACCAGAUCCCAAACAUUGCCCAGAGUGGGUGAGGAUGGAUAAACCCCAGCAGAUCCUAAACCUGAUCCUAAACAUCUCCCAGAGCUGGUGAGGAUGGAGAAACCCCAGCAGAUCCUAAACCAGAUUGGGGAUGGAUAAACCUCACCAGAUCCCAAACAUUGCCCAGAACUGGUGGGGAUGGAGAAACCUCACCAGACCCUAAACCUGAUCCCAAAGAGUCCCCAGAGGUGGUGGGGAUGGAUAAGGGAUGGAUAAACCCCAGGAGAUCCCAAACCAGAUCCCAAACAUUGCCCAGAGCUGGUGGGGAUGGAUAAACCUCACCAGACCCUAAACCUGAUCCUAAACAUCUCCCAGAGCUGGUGAGGGUGGAGAAACCCCAGCAGAUCCCAAACGUGAUCCCAAACAUCACCCAGAACUGGUGGGGAUGGGUAAAACCUCACCAGACCCUAAACCAGAUCCCAAAGAGUCCCCAGAGCUGGUGGGGAUGGAUAAACCCCAGCAGAUCCUAAACCUGAUCCCAAAGAGUCCCCAGAGCUGGUGGGGAUGGGUAAAACCUCACCAGAUCUUAAACCAGAUCCCAAACAUCCUCCAGAGCUGGUGGGGAUGGGUGAGGGAUGGAUAAACCCCAGCAGAUCCCAAACCAGAUCCCAAACAUCCCCCAGAACUGGUGGGGAUGGAUAAGGGAUGGAUAAAACCUCCCCAGAUCCCAAAUCGGAUCCCAAACAUCGCCCAGAGCUGGGCACUGCAGGGAUUUUUAUUUCAGAGAGAAUUCCCUGCCUGGAGCUGGGAGAACAGGGAAAUGUCAGCGGGCAGUGAGGGAUG